rnacentral:rRNA from 1 species
CCUACGGGUGGCAGCAGUGAGGAAUAUUGGUCAAUGGACGAGAGCCUGAACCAGCCCAGUAGCGUGAAGGAUGACUGCCCUACGGGUUGUAAACUUCUUUUAUACGGGACUAAAGUGCUUCACGUGUGGGGUUUUGUAUGUACUUUAUGAAUAAGGAUCGGCUAACUCCGUGCCAGCAGCCGCGGUAAUACGGAGGAUCCGGGCGUUAUCCGGAUUUAUUGGGUUUAACGGGAGCGUAGGUGGAUUGUUAAGUGAGUUGUGAAAGUUUCAGGCUCAACCGGAAAAUUGCAGUGGAUACUGGCAGGCUUGAGUACAGGGGAGGUAGGCGGAAUUCGUGGUGUAGCGGUGAAAUGCUUAGAUAUGACGAAGAACUCCGAUUGCGAAGGCAGCUCACUGGACUGCAACUGACACUGAUGCUCGAAAGUGUGGGUAUCAAACAGGAUUAGAUACCCGAGUAGUC